rnacentral:snRNA from 1 species
AUCGCUUCUUGGCCUUUUGGCUAAGAUCAAGUGUAGAAACUUUAUUAUAUAUAUUGAUGAUUUGCAUACAGUUU